rnacentral:rRNA from 1 species
UACGAAGGGGGCUAGCGUUGCCCGGAAUCACUGGGCGUAAAGCGCACGUAGGCGGAUUGCUAAGUCAGGGGUGAAAUCCUGGAGCUCAACUCCAGAACUGCCCUUGAUACUGGCGGUCUCGAGUCCGGGAGAGGUGAGUGGAACUGCGAGUGUAGAGGUGAAAUUCGUAGAUAUUCGCAAGAACACCAGUGGCGAAGGCGGCUCACUGGCCCGAUACUGACGCUGAGGCACGAAAGCGUGGGGAGCAAACAGG